ACCAUCCUUUUCUUGGGAUUGCACUACUGUUCAAUGAGUGCAUAGUGAGGGCAGUACUGCUAACGCCUAAACAACACACUUGCGUCAACUAGAGCUUUGCUUUGCUUUACAUUGGUGCAAUUAAAAAAAAA